UCGCUCCGUUGGCAUAGUGAUUAGUGUGUCUGCCUUGGAUGCGGGAGGUCGUGGGUUCAAACCCCUGCCGAGUCAU